GCUCUGUUUUUCUCAACUUUUGCACCCUAUAUUGGGGGUGCCGGUUCGCCGGCUAUGGAAAUAAAUUGCCGUCGCAAUAAACCAUUCGGACCCGGGGGCAGUACCCGGCGCCUCCACCCAAGCCCACCCUUCCAAUCGGCGGGUUUCGGUGGGGGCGAAACAGGAUCGACGAGGGCGUAAAGGGCGUGUUUUUUCCCGGUAUGGUUCCGCCGUUAUCGGGCUAUGCAAUAGUUGCAAACGACAACUAUGCUCCGGUCGCUCGGGCUGCGUAACGCAGUUUGAAAGACCAAGUCUAAAGUCCUGAUGGGUUAAGCUCCGUCAGGCGGGGUCCGGAGGCACCUGGCAACAGAAGCCUCCACU
rfam:Bradyrhizobium erythrophlei strain GAS478 genome assembly, contig: Ga0132009_11